rnacentral:miRNA from 1 species
CCAAUUUUUAUCAAGGAAAGC